AUUGAACGCUGGCGGCAGGCCUAACACAUGCAAGUCGAGCGGAUGAAGGGAGCUUGCUCCUGGAUUCAGCGGCGGACGGGUGAGUAAUGCCUAGGAAUCUGCCUGGUAGUGGGGGAUAACGUCCGGAAACGGGCGCUAAUACCGCAUACGUCCUGAGGGAGAAAGUGGGGGAUCUUCGGACCUCACGCUAUCAGAUGAGCCUAGGUCGGAUUAGCUAGUUGGUGGGGUAAAGGCCUACCAAGGCGACGAUCCGUAACUGGUCUGAGAGGAUGAUCAGUCACACUGGAACUGAGACACGGUCCAGACUCCUAGGGGAGGCAGCAGUGGGGAAUAUUGGACAAUGGGCGAAAGCCUGAUCCAGCCAUGCCGCGUGUGUGAAGAAGGUCUUCGGAUUGUAAAGCACUUUAAGUUGGGAGGAAGGGCAGUAAGUUAAUACCUUGCUGUUUUGACGUUACCAACAGAAUAAGCACCGGCUAACUUCGUG
rnacentral:rRNA from 1 species